CCGGCGACCGGCGCACGGGUGAGUAACACGUAUGCAACCUGGCCGUCACAGGUGGAUAACCGGAAGAAAUUCCGACUAAUACAGCAUAACACUCCUGAGGGACAUCCUUCGGGAGUCAAAGGAGGCAACUCCGGUGACGGAUGGGCAUGCGGCGCAUUAGGUAGUUGGUAGGGUAACGGCCCACCUAACCGACGAUGCGUAGGGGUUCUGAGAGGAAGGUCCCCCACACUGGUACUGAGACACGGACCAGACUCCUACGGAAGGCAGCAG
rnacentral:rRNA from 1 species